ensembl:lncRNA
AGCCUGCAUCAUUGCUGGCCACACACUUGAAGUCCCCGCUGUGACUGGCAGAUGCAGAGCCAAUCACAAGAGAGCCAUCUUCUGCCACAGAGAACUCUGAUUGGUCAGGGAAUAUCCCAAGACCGUUCUUGAACCAGCGCACCUUUGGAAAGGAACAUAUCCAAACACCAGAGAGAGAGGAGGCUCUACUGGAAACUAAACACAUAUUUCAUCCCCCGUCCAAAAAUACUAAACUCAGGGGACAAAGAGGAACCACAGAGAGGAACCAAAGUUUGACCUCCAUGGUAUCCUGUCCAGCAGUGUUCUUGGCCACACAGCUGUAGGUGCCCUGGUCAGUGAGGCUGGCCCUGUGGAUUCUGAGGGCUGCAGUGUCCCUCGCCUCGACAGGACGUCCGUUGUGGAACCAGCUGAUCUCAGGUCUGGGCUCCCCCUGAACCACACACGGCAGAACCACCGUCUGGCCUAUCAGCGCCUUCAGCAGGGACGGAGCUGCCUGGAUCUUGGGCUUAACUGGGAAACAAGGUUUGUGUCUCAUGAUAUCUAUUAGAUGCAUGACAUCAUCUUGAACAGUGAAGUGAAACAGGCUGUCAGAUCUCAAGUUCACAUAGCAUCUACAAAGUGAGAAUCCAUAACGAGAUACCUUGUAUGUGUAAAUUGUAGUUGAGCGACACGUUGCCGGCUGGGUUUUCUGCUGAGCAGGUGUAAAGUUUACUAUCAAUCAGUCGGACAUCGGUGAUCUUGAGAGAACCAGAAGGCAGCACGGUGAACCUGGACAUGGAGAGAGGUCAGAGCACUGGGACAUGUGGUAGAGGUGGUGGAGAAGAAGAGGGCUAUGGAGGCAGACACUCAGAACACCCACUGACUGAGUUAUUCAUAACAAUCCGUUUCUCCCUGCUCACACCGGCUGGGCCAAAGGAUGGGGGGCAGAUAGACUCCUGGAUGGAGAGAAUGCGUCUGUCCGCUCCAGUGCUGAGGGCUGAAGGGGUUGUUGGUGGAGGUGUGUUAUUCUCAUCAGACAGCCAGGGCUGGUAAAGAGUAAGGAGAAGACAUGCUCUUUUAUUGCAGAAGAUCCACAGGGGAGCCAAACGUCAAACAGGCUGUACUUUUAUCUCUUCUUCUGUCAGUCUUCUCCCCUACUUCCCGUCAGCACACCCCUCCCCCUCUCCUCCGUCCCUGUCCCCCACUCCUUCCUGGCCCCACAUAAGCAUCCUCCUUCCACCACUACCACAGCGUUCAACACUGUCACACAGUUCCUCCAGAGACAUAGGGACUGGUCAUGGCCAGUGGGUUUCACUGUCAUCUCUAGUCUGUGCCCUAUAGACAGACUCCACCCGACAGUGAAGCCUGUGCUGAGUGACCACAGAUUCAGGGAUGAGAGAGUCAUGUGUAACCAUAUGUUCUUCCUCAGAGAAGUUGUUCCAUACGACUACACACGCGCAACACACAGCCCAGCGCCCGGCUGCUGCCUCUGCCGCUUCAAAAGGCACCACUAAAUGCGCUCCAACAGUUAACGGCUGCUUUAGAUAGCAGCCGGAUUCAAUCAGUUUCCAUUGUAAAAGGUUGGUCAAUUAAGUCAGG